UCCAAGAAGGAAGAGGGUCAGGAGACCUGGGU
rnacentral:piRNA from 1 species